CUCUGUGGAAGACACACUACGGUAACUGAGAGGAAAAUCAAGAGCUAUAAUUGAAUGACACCAAAGUGAUUACUAUAAUAUACAUAAUUUCACUGUGAUUAUCCAUUUUUCUUUUGUCACUGUUGUGAUGUCACAGUUUUGAACACAGCCUGAGGUCCCCCCAGACAAAACUGGUUGGGAUAAGAAGCUAAUAGGACUAUAGCCUCAGCCAAAGCUCUGCCCACAGCAGCCCUGAUUGGUGGAUUGCCUGGCUCCACUGGUUGGUCCAACCGCGCUAUUUAGGCCAGAAGAUGGGACAGGAAGUUUCUCUCAGCUACAAGUUGACUCUGGUGCAGACCCUUGGCUUCAUUCUCCAACUGGAUGCCUGCUCUGCCCACUACAUUUGACUCCAGCUCUGACUACUGGCCCAGACCACCUACAUACUCAUCCAUGGCAACUCUAAGGUAGCGAACAACUCUGCAGACAAGAUCAGGGGCCAUGAAAUCACCUGUGAAGCGCCAAAUUAUAUCAGUCAGUAUAUUUAUGAAUCCUGUAAAACAAUCUGCAGAC